rnacentral:rRNA from 1 species
GACGAACGCUGGCGGCGUGCUUAACACAUGCAAGUCGAACGGAAAGGCCCUGCUUUUGUUGGGUGCUCGAGUGGCGAACGGGUGAGUAACACGUGAGUAACCUGCCCUUGACUUUGGGAUAACUUCAGGAAACUGGGGCUAAUACAGGAUAGGAGCUCCUGCUGCAUGGUGGGGGUUGGAAAGUUUCGGCGGUUGGGGAUGGACUCGCGGCUUAUCAGGUUGUUGGUGGGGUAGUGGCUUACCAAGGCUUUGACGGGUAGCCGGCCUGAGAGGGUGACCGGCCACAUUGGGACUGAGAUACGGCCCAGACUCCUACGGGAGGGAGCAGUGGGGAAUAUUGCACAAUGGGCGGAAGCCUGAUGCAGCAACGCCGCGUGCGGGAUGACGGCCUUCGGGUUGUAAACCGCUUUCGCCUGUGACGAAGCGUGAGUGACGGUAAUGGGUAAAGAAGCACCGGCUAACUACGUG